GUGUCAGCAGCCGCGGUAAUACGGAGGGUGCAAGCGUUACUCGGAAUCACUGGGCGUAAAGCGCGCGCAGGCGGCCUUGUAAGUUGGAUGUGAAAGCCUACGGCUCAACCGUAGAACUGCAUCCAAAACUACUAGGCUAGAGUGUGGGAGAGGAAGAUGGAAUUAGUUGUGUAGGGGUAAAAUCCGUAGAGAUAACUAGGAAUACCAAAAGCGAAGGCAAUCUUCUGGAACACUACUGACGCUGAGGCGCGAAAGCGUGGGGAGCAAACAGGAUUAGAUACCCCCGUAGUCC
rnacentral:rRNA from 1 species